rnacentral:rRNA from 1 species
GACGAACGCUGGCGGCGUGCUUAACACAUGCAAGUCGAACGGAAAGGCCCUGCUUUUGUGGGGUGCUCGAGUGGCGAACGGGUGAGUAACACGUGAGUAACCUGCCCUUGACUUUGGGAUAACUUCAGGAAACUGGGGCUAAUACCGGCUAGGAGCUCCUGCUGCAUGGUGGGGGUUGGAAAGUUUCGGCGGUUGGGGAUGGACUCGCGGCUUACCAGCUUGUUGGUGGGGUAGUGGCUUACCAAGGCUUUGACGGGUAGCCGGCCUGAGAGGGUGACCGGCCACAUUGGGACUGAGAUACGGCCCAGACGCCUACGGGAGGCAGCAGUGGGGAAUAUUGCACAAUGGGCGGAAGCCUGAUGCAGAGACGCCGCGUGCGGGAUGACGGCCUUCGGGUUGUAAACCGCUUUAGCCUGUGACGAAGCGUGAGUGACGGUAAUGGGUAAAGAAGCACCGGCUAACUACGUG